GGAAGUAAAAGGUCGUAACAAGGUUUCCGUAGGUGAACCUGCGGAGGGAUCAUUACUGAGUGAGGGCCCCUCGGGGUCCAACCUCCCACCCGUGUUUAACGAACCUUGUUGCUUCGGCGGGCCCGCCUCACGGCCGCCGGGGGGCAUCUGCCCCCGGGCCCGCGCCCGCUGAAGCCACCUGUGAACGCUGUCUGAAGUAUGCAGUCUGAGACAAUUAUUAAAUUAACUAAAACUUUCAACAACGGAUCUCUUGGUUCCG
rnacentral:misc_RNA from 1 species